GACAAACUCUUAAUGUAAAACCACCAUCAGAGCCACCCUGGAGUUAUGGCAAGGCCACCACAGUCUCCUCCAAAGGCCACUGAUAUGGAACUGGGAACCUCCCUCCAUAGAAUGCUAAAUGGCUGAUGUGAACUUGGUUAAGGAUCUAUAAUUCUUCUUACGAAGGUUAAAAUGGAGUUAAAAUUCACAGUGAACAGAUAAGAAGACCUCUUCACUGAUUUGUCAGAGUUACAACUCCCAAGCAGCUGGAGAGCACUAACGAUAAAAGGACCAACCCGCAACUCUGGCUUUCUGCCUACACAUCCCUGAAGAUCUGGCAGCUUCUGUUUGCAUCCUUGUCAUAAGACUUCCUCUUCCGUUCAGCAAACCUUCCUAAGAAGUUACAAUCUCAAAGGGGAAAGUUCUGGAAGACCAAAGAAAAUAUGUCAUGAAAUCAAGCCAUUAAGAAGUUGUGACUCCAAAAAAGUAAAAGCGUGAGCUACUGUACACACGAGGGUCCUGCCCUUUACUGUGGAGGGAGGAAUGCUGCACAGAGAGGUCAAGGAGAAUCUGGACAGGCCUUGGUGGGCUUCCCCACUCAGUCGGUUAGUAUGAGAACAUACCCAUUUUGUCCAAUCACAUUUCUACACAGUUGUCAUUCGUGCUUAUGUAAUGAAGCCUCCAUAAAAUCUCAAAAAACAGGAUUCAGAGAGCUUCCAGAGAGCAUUUUGAAUACAUGGAGGUUGACAGGAAGGUGCAAAACUCAUUCGUGUGCCAG
rnacentral:lncRNA from 10 species